ensembl:snRNA U6 U6 spliceosomal RNA
GUGUCACUUCAGGAGCAUAUAUACUAAAAUUGGAAUGAUCCAGAGAAGACUAGCACGGCCCCUGCUCGAGGAUGACAUGCAAGUGUAUGAAGCGUGCCAUAUUUUG